rnacentral:rRNA from 1 species
GGGACCUCAGAUCAGGCAAGACCACCCGCUGAGUUUAAGCAUAUCACUAAGCGGAGGAAAAGAAACUAACAAGGAUUC